rnacentral:rRNA from 1 species
UUGCUUCCACUGAGAAGAUAGUGGCGGACGGGUGAGUAACACGUGGGUAACCUGCCCAUAAGAGGGGGAUAACAUCCGGAAACGGGUGCUAAUACCGCAUAGUUUUCUUGAUCGCAUGAUUGAGAAAGGAAAGACGGCCUUUGUGCUGUCGCUUAUGGAUGGACCCGCGGCGUAUUAGUUAGUUGGUGAGGUAAUGGCUCACCAAGACGAUGAUACGUAGCCGACCUGAGAGGGUGAUCGGCCACAUUGGGACUGAGACACGGCCCAAACUCCUACGGGAGGCAGCAGUAGGGAAUCUUCCGCAAUGGACGAAAGUCUGACGGAGCAACGCCGCGUGAGUGAAGAAGGUUUUCGGAUCGUAAAACUCUGUUGUCAGAGAAGAACAAGUCGGAGAGUAACUGCUCCGGCCUUGACGGUAUCUGACCAGAAAGCCACGGCUAACUACGUGCCAGCAGCCGCGGUAAUACGUAGGUGGCAAGCGUUGUCCGGAUUUAUUGGGCGUAAAGCGAGCGCAGGCGGUUCCUUAAGUCUGAUGUGAAAGCCCACGGCUCAACCGUGGAAGGUCAUU